UGAACAAAACACGCAAGAAAUAAAAACGUAAAUAAAGAUGAAAACGCAGGAGAAAAUGACUUGGCUAUGGGUCUGAAUCACAUUCAGCGAAGUAUUCUAAAACAGUUACCAAAGGUUUCCAACUUUAAUGCCUCAUAACUGUGUUUGACACUUGAGCCACAGCAAGUGGCCAGUGAGCACGGAGUGAGCGCCUCUUGUGCGUGACGGAUACCAAGACCAUCCUGGAGGAAGAGUCUGCAGAGACCGCAGGCGGGUCGCGGACAAGUGCAGCUGGCCCAUGCCAGGCGCCUCGCGGGUGCAGAGGGAGGAAAACCACGGGUUCUGUCCACCAGAAGGCAAGGACCUUCCUUCCUCUCUAGCUCCAACCUCCCAGAAAGCCCGAUGCUGUGUGACCUGUGGGCUUUACAACAAGGCCUGAGACUCCAGGUUUUGUUUCCCCAGGACUAUGCCGUCACUGCCAGGAAGUGGCUACCGAUCAGGAGGCCGGCACGAUGACUGUGUCGUGACAGGAGAGCAGGAGGGCUCCCUGCCGUCCGGUGACGGCAGCCUCACCACGCAUGUGAGGAUGAGGCCGAGCAUCUUUUCAAAGCACAGGCGCGUCUGCAUUCUCACGUACAGCGUCCUUGAGAAAGCGGGGGUCGGAGGGAGCCCGUCACCAGGGCCAUUCUGCUGCAGACGAUGCAAAGGAGGCUACAUGUACACAACAUAUUUCAAUCAGGCGUAAUUUUUUAUAGGAACAGACCUAUGGAAAAAUCUAGAUUACUAACCCACGGCAGAUAUAAGCAGUUUAUGACGCUAUUUUGAGGAUCCAAGGGGGAGCUCCCACUCACCCUCUCAGGCUGUCCGCUGUCCCACUCUACUUAAUUUUGUAGGGAAACAAUCGUCCUGAAUUUGUUAUCCUGGAUUGUCAUGGAAAUAAACAUUCUCAUUAUUCCAACCCCAUGCAAUCAAGUAAGAAGUUCUAAUCAAAAUGGAAAAUGAUCAGCUCAGCUGCUUAACACCUUAAGAAGUUGCAAGAUGAAUAAUAAACUCCACGCUGUGAGUGUUGCCGAAUGCCAGCUGCCGAGAUCCCGUGGAGUCCUCACGGCAGCCCCCGAGGUGAGUAUGAGUGUCAUACCCAUUUUAUAGCUAAGGAUGCUGCAGAUCUGAAAGCCAGGGCGCUGGCCUCAAGUCUCACAGAGAACAGACAGGUGACACGCUCUUUGGUCAAACCCACACCUGGCUCUCCUCCCCACGCUUCACUGUCACGUGAGCACUACCAGAGACUCAUCGGCUCCGACGGCCGCAGCACAGCACGGCGAUCCUAGGAGGAAGGGCACAGCCCCACUCUACACGGACGGAGUCCACGGAGGAGGUGCGCCCCCACCAUCGGCUGCGUCGUGGUGGCUUCCUGGACAACGUUAAUGCUCGAGCAGCUCUGAGCACCCGAGGGGGGAAGCCAAGGAAGGGGUGGGGAGAGGCAACAGAGAGGAGAUGGCGGCAAGGGCCUUGCAGGCGGGGGAACGGCACACACGAGGCACGGAUGCAAGAAACAGGCUUCAGAAUUUGAGUCUACAAGUACUUCCAUCAGGGUCAAGAAGCACUGACCAAAUGCCGAGCCUAGAAUAUUCCUCCGUAUAAAAUGCCUCCUCCAUGUGCCAAACACAGGUCAGAUCUUCUUCUCCUGGCUUACUCACAUCCUCACCAGCCAAUUAAACACAGUGUCCCGUACUGGUGACGACGGGAGCCUGCUGGCAUGGAGAUGGAACGUACUCUCUCUGGAAUGUUCUGUGUUAAGCCCCAUGGUUUUUUCAAGCAUUGGCCAGGAACAGGGCAGUCGCUCUUACAGCUGACCUAUUAUAUACCAAGUGGCAAUGUGUAAUUUUUCUGAGGAAUCGCGUGCGGCUACAGAGUUUUAAAAAAAGGUCUUCGGAUGGAGAACUGGCACUCCGCGAGGGCGUGGGAGAAAGGAAGGGAGCGUGGGAGGAAGGGCCUCUGAUGAGUGAGACCCGGGCUGCACUGACCGCCUCUCUGCAGACAUCAUCUCACUGAACCUCCACAGAGUCGCCAUCCUUGAACAUGAAGCAGCUGAGGCACAGUGACGCUGAACCACCAGGUCACACAGCUCAGAAGGGACAGCACCUACACUCGAAGCUCAGGUGCCAACGUCACCACGUGCUGAAGACCUAUGCCAGGGGCGGGGGGCGGGCUGUGCGGUUCACCCAGACCUGCCCUGCUCCCUCCCCGAACGUCUCACUUGCCCGUCUGGGGUUUCCAUGACCCCUCCUCGCACCUGGAAAUGUCUGAGAAGUUAACUCAACUAUCCAAGGAUGAACAAGAACAAGCGAGGACCAAAGCCCUAAGUCAGGUCUGUCUGAUGCCACAGCGGAUGUUUAUCCUACUCGAGCUGUUGCUCGGAGUGCGGAGGAGAUCCUUCCAACAGGAAAGCGGUGACAGUCUCUUAAAUCACGACACUGCUUCUCUCCCUCAUCGCAUGUCACACUCACAUCUCUCCUGGCACCUAACAUGCCCUCCCACGUGAGAAAAAUGAGGUCAAAGGAUGGGAGCCAUGUCUAACUCAACUGCUCCCUACAGUGCUGAUCCCUCCCAGAUCAGACAGGUAAGAGGAAGACUGAUAUGAACACGAGGGCUGAAGACCGUCCGUGACUCACGCAAGAGUCUCUAAUACGGACGUUGUGUUGCAGCAGUUGUGGCAAUUUUCCGGGGUGGGAGGUGAACCUGGAAUUCAUCCCAGAAUCAUCUUCAGUGAAUCUCUUCCAAAGUUUAAUUAGAAAAACUACUGGACUGAGCACACGUGGUCCAGAGAGUAGCUCCGGACCGGCUGGCCUGGGCUAGUGUUUUCGCUCUACUUGGGAGCUUGUAAUCCUUCCGCAACCAUUAAGAAUUUUUACAGAUGAAGCAGAGUAAGUGAAAAGUAACAUUUAAAAUGAAACUGUGGGACUACUCUUGUUUUCCCAAUAUCACAGAUAACUGAAAGACUUGCAAUUCCUUCAGGGUAAUUGGCUAAAAAAUUUCCAAUCUGCUUUCAGUAAGAGCCUUACUUCUCUAAUAGUUCUUUAAUAAGAUUUCAGAACAUUUCCUCAGGAAGGUGCCGAAUAAAUAAGUCUCCGCACUGGGCUGCACCGGUCCGAUGGCAGAGCGGCAGCCAAGGUCUGGUCGUCGGCCCAUUGGUUUGCUACAUCCGGGCCUCCCCCUUGGUCACGGCCGCCCCUCCUGGGGGCUGCUCCCCAAACGGAGCUAGCUUCCUCCAAGACAGGAGAGAUGGGGGUAAGGGCACUUCAUUCCUGUCUUCCGGGUUUGGCAAAGCGUGUUCAGAUCUAAACGCAAGGCUGUUAAUCCUUUGCCCCUCUUCCCCUGAGGAUCGCAAAUCUGGACGAGGCAGCUUUGAUGUGGGAGGGAGGCCAGGGCCGGCCCCUCUUCGUAGGCCACCCCUGGCUUCACAGUACCCCGCGUGUGAUGGGCACGCAGGGAACACACUUCUGCCCUCAGGGAGCUGACGGCGUGAGGACAAUUCAGUGGACCAAAGGGCUGCACGAGGGUUAAAGGGCCCUCGAUAACUAGCUUCCUACGCUUGCCGCUGGGGGCGGCUCUCGCCCCGCGCUCUCCCAGAGCCCUAGUAUAUGCAUCCUGUGUGUGCAAACCGGCCUAGAGCGGUGGUGUUCCAAGUGUGGCUUGGGCACUCCUAAGAGCCCCUGCCAUCAAUCACGGGUCUGAGCCCCACAUCGGGCUCUGCGCUGGUGGCGCAGAGUCUGCUUGGGAUUCUGUCUCUCCUUCUCUCUGCCUCUCCCCUGCUGGGGCUCUCUCUCAAGAUAAAUACAUAAACUUAAAAAACAUUUUUUUUUAAAAGUAUGUUUGUUUAAACAUGUCCUUGAUGAAGCAGUACAGAUUACUAAUUUUAAUAGAUCUCCACUAUUAUUCUGCAGGAUGAAACAGAAGGGUGCUUACGGGAGGUCGGUGGCUGGCUGGGGCGUGGGGGUGACCUCGGGCUUUCUCGCGGCACAGCUUUCCACUUGAAAGAAUCAAGUGCAGACACACUAUGGUUACUCCGACGCACGUGUGUGGCAGACACGUUCUCAGAGAUGAACGAAGUGAGCCUGUCUCUUCAGGAAAAACUGACAGUAUUUGUUACCGAUGACUCAAUUCAAGCUUUCAGGUAUGUGCUGCAAUUUUGGAAAGUUAGUACUGACCACUGUAAACGGAUAAUAAGGCAGUACUUCUACAGACCUCUCUGUUGAGACCGGUGGUGGUGGCAACAGAUACGGCUCUUUCGUACUGCCCAGGGAAAUGCGUCACAGGACCGUGAGAACACGCAUGUCCCAGCGAACCAGUGUUUUUCGUAUGACCCAGGUCUGAUGUUUCCAAACCCACCAAAUGGAAGAUGGACCAAGGUGUUUCAAUGAGACAGAGUAUGACAAGUUUACUGAUGUGGUUUCAGAAUCCACACUGCAGCUAACCUUUCAGAAACUACCACUUGCCAAAUUUCGGUGGAGUCAUCAAAGAAUACCCACAGUUAGGUGCAAGGCUGUCAAAAUUCUUUUCUUUUCCAACUGCGUAUUUGUGGUUCCAACUACUUCAACCCAAACAACAUGUCCCAUCAGACUGAACACAGAGGCAGAGAGAAGACUCUAGCUAGCUCCCAUGAAGCUGGACAUUAAAGAGAUUUGCAAAAAUAUAAAACAAUACUGUUUUUGUUUUGGAAAGUAGUGAUUUUCCAUAAAAACAGAUUUUUUUUUUAUGUUAACAUGCAAUGAGUUGGCUACUGUCAUGUAUUUCAUGAUUAAUAACUAUUUUUAAAGUUUCUGUUUUUAAUUUCACAUGUGAUAAAUGUUGACAGAUACAAGCCAUACACACCAGACGGCUUCGUGGCCCUUACAAUAAAGGACAGAGGAGUUCUGAGACCGAAGGCUUUAAGCCCGGGCACAGGUCACCUGCCUGCAGGAAGUGUGUGAGAGCACAGUGACUCCUACACGCUGGCCUGAAGAAUGAUUCUUUGAUCUGGAACAAUGUCUCUCCGUCCACCCGGUGACGGGGGAGGAAGAAGGGCUCACUCACAGAACUAGCCUGUGGACAGAGCUCCGUGUCACAGCCGCCCGGCCCCAGGUCUCACGCGUACCAGGAUCAAAAACCGCCGUUUCUGGCAAGAUCGGGAAAAGAGGGGAAACUUAAAUUUCGUAUAAGCAGGACAGAUGCGUACACCUCCCCAGAUCCAUCAGGCACAGAUCUAACGUGGGGACAGUUUCAAUUUCCUCACAGUACAUGUCACUUUCUAGUGCCCAGAAUGCAAGAAAAUAGAAGUAAAAAGGUUUGAAAUAAAGAGUUCUCUUUAGGAAUUAGAAACAUUA